AGUUAAAUAUUAAAAGAGAACCAAUUUCUACUAAAAACACAAACGGAUCCACUAUUUGGACUCAUUCUGAUUAUAAAAUCGAAAAAGAUAUUAAGAAAGAAGAAAUAAAAGAAAAUCGUGAUGUAAAACAUGGUAUAAAAUCAGAAUGUAAAGUUGAUUUGAAAAAAUUGAAGAUUGAAGUAAAGACUGAAGAUUAUAAAGAAG